UUUAUUUGAAAUCUUCCACAAAAUUUUGAUACUAAUGUUUUGCAACACUGAUUAAUACGAAAAAAAUGCAACUGUUUUUUAAAAUACCGUAUGUAUCAAGUGUUUCUAUAAACUAUUUGUUUACAUUUCCCUCAUUUGUGUCAAACGUUAGCAAGCAUAACCAAAAGAAAAUAGUUUUGAAUAUUUCAAAAAAAAAAGGAAUUAUAAUAUGGAAAACGAAUGUGCAGAAAGUGAAGAAAAGAAGGAAAUUGGCCCUUCUAGUGGAUCGCCUUCAAACUGGUGUUUGUAUGAGCGGGUGCAUGGAAUACUUGGCGGAUACAAAUUCCACAAUAUACAAACGUUGGAUUUAGGUAACCUUUUUCGGAGUUACCGACACAAACCGAUAAAAGUAAAACGCAAUAUUAUGACUGAAAAGUGCAAAUAAAUGUUAACAAUAAUGUUGGUAUUGGUACGGCUUAGCGUUAACAUACCAAGAUAUUGCCUGAUGGUAUGCAUUUUUUGUAGAUACGCCUUUUGUGGAAUUUGUCGAUGAUGAAUCUAUUGAGUGUAUUAAAAUUUUAAGUUGCGAUAUGGAAGUUCCUGUUGAAGAAUCAAAACCAAAAAGAGCGAAGAAAAGUGACAAAGAAAAUACUAAAAUAAUUAAACAAAAUAUAGAAGCUACUAACAAGGAGUUAGUAGAGUGUGUUAAAUACAUGAAUAAUUUAACUGAAAAAGGACUCAAUAUACAAAAAGUCAUUGCUGAGACCGAAAAAGAGCGGAACGAAAUCCUUAAGGAAUUUGUAGAUAUUUUUAAAAAUAAUAAUUCCAAGUAAAUUACAAGUACUUGAUUUUUUGACGCACAUUUUUAAAGGAUAUUUUUUUUUGUAGUAUAAAUACAUUGAUCAAAAAAUUAAUUAAUAUCACUAAAAAUUGUUAUGCUUUUUUUAAGAAUUUUAGCUAUUACAUUAAUGUAUUCUUUAAUACAAAUGCACAGACGAAUAUAAUUCAUUAUUAUUAUUUAAAUACUACCUUACUUCCUUUUUCAAUCUUAUUUAAAAUAAAAACAUUUAAUAUAUACCAUUACUUUAGUGUGAUAUCUACAUUAAUAAAACUGGACAUUUUGGUUGAGGAUCACCCUUGGUCCGAAGUGGUCAAAUAAGGUUGGAAUAGUUGGAAAUUCGUUAGGAAAAGUACUGAAUAUGAUACCCUUUGUAUUUGAUGAACCAGUAAAUUAGAACUCUUAGAUUUAGCAU